rnacentral:rRNA from 1 species
GACGAACGCUGGCGGCGUGCCUAACACAUGCAAGUCGAACGCAGUGGGGACGGGUGAUUAAGACGUGGGUAACCUACCAUCAGAGGGGAUAACACUUGGAAACAGGUGCUAAACUGAUACUGAUUGAUGGACUCGCUGUGCAUUAGGUAGUUGGUGAGGUAACGGCUCACCAAGGCCACGAUGCAUAGCCGACCUGAGAGGAUGAUCGGCCACACUGGGACUGAGACACGGCCCAGACUCCUACGGGAGGCAGCAGUAGGGAAUAUUGGCCAAUGGGCGAAAGCCUGAUCCAGCCAUGCCGCGUGUGUGAAGAAGGUCUUCGGAUUGUAAAGCACUUUAAGUUGGGAGGCGUUACCAACAGAAUAAGCACCGGCUAACUUCGUGCCAGCAGCCGCGGUAAUAC